rnacentral:rRNA from 1 species
AGAGUUUGAUCAUGGCUCAGGACGAACGCUGGCGGCGUGCUUAACACAUGCAAGUCGAACGGAAAGGCCCUUUCGGGGGUGCUCGAGUGGCGAACGGGUGAGUAACACGUGGGUGAUCUGCCCUGCACUUUGGGAUAAGCCUGGGAAACUGGGUCUAAUACCGGAUAGGACCGCAUGCUGCAUGGUGUGUGGUGGAAAGCGUUUGCGGUGUGGGAUGGGCCCGCGGCCUAUCAGCUUGUUGGUGGGGUGAUGGCCUACCAAGGCGACGACGGGUAGCCGGCCUGAGAGGGCGACCGGCCACACUGGGACUGAGACACGGCCCAGACUCCUACGGGAGGCAGCAGUGGGGAAUAUUGCGCAAUGGACGAAAGUCUGACGCAGCAACGCCGCGUGAGGGAUGACGGCCUUCGGGUUGUAAACCUCUUUCAGCAGGGACGAAGCGAGAGUGACGGUACCUGCAGAAGAAGGACCGGCCAACUACGUGCCAGCAGCCGCGGUAAUACGUAGGGUCCGAGCGUUGUCCGGAAUUAUUGGGCGUAAAGGGCUCGUAGGCGGUUCGUCACGUCGGGAGUGAAAACUCGGAGCUUAACUCCGAGCCUGCUUCCGAUACGGGCAGACUAGAGGUAGGCAGGGGAGAGCGGAACUCCUGGUGUAGCGGUGGAAUGCGCAGAUAUCAGGAAGAACACCGGUGGCGAAGGCGGCUCUCUGGGCCUUACCUGACGCUGAGGAGCGAAAGCGUGGGUAGCGAACAGGAUUAGAUACCCUGGUAGUCCACGCCGUAAACGUUGGGCGCUAGGUGUGGGGGACAUUCCACGUCCUCCGUGCCGCAGCUAACGCAUUAAGCGCCCCGCCUGGGGAGUACGGCCGCAAGGCUAAAACUUAAAUGAAUUGACGG